GCCAUCGCUUCCUUCUGCGUAGCUGAGCUUGAUUUGACGGAUUUCAGGAAGCUGUACACUAAUCCUCUACUGCUAUCUCGACAAACGCAGCUGACAGCUCCGGUCGUCGAUCCCUUCACAAAUGAGCCAUUGAUGUUGAUUUUGAGGGUUCCCUUCUUCGAGCAAUUCCAGAUUUGAGGUGAGUCGGUAUCUUCUGAGCAUGUCUUCUUCUUGGUUUUUUCCCAGAGACUGAAGUACUGAUACGAUGCCAUGGCUGAGCUAACGAGGUAUUGCGGGUCUAGUGCUUGCUUGCGGAAUACAUAAUUGUUCCUUGGUUUCCGUAAUUGCCAUAGGACUGUAGCAAGGAGAUCAAAGUUAACCGAGGAUCUGAGUACUUGGCGUGUCCAGGGACAAAGCAAGAAGAGGUGUUCCAUCGUUUCGGGAUGUUGCUUACACAAGUCACCGAUAUUAUCUUCAACUAUACAUCUCCUUGUUAAAUUUCCUUGAUGGGUAAUGCAUUUUGGCAUAUCCUCCAUAAAAUAAAUCUGAUCUUCGGAGAAGUAUUCGUCUUCCAGAUAUUUGUCCAAAGAGUGCGAGGAUUCUGGUAAUAUGUUGCGGCCAGUACAGGGCUUUGUAGUU